UUAGCAGUUGCUUGGUGUCACCACUAGAGGGCAGCUAACACUCAGCUUAUAAUUAAAAUUACAUGUCACUAACUUGACCUGAGUAUUUAAAUAUUAAAUAUUAAUAUUUUAUUGUCCAACUUGUUGUUUACUAUCCUUUCCUGUUGACGGAAAGCUCCUCCAACGGCGGCUCAAAGAAGACAACGGAGACAUUAUUGGAGCAGCCACGAACACAACUUUAGACAAAACAACAAAAGCUGGAGGAAGACCGUGUGCAAAGCUCCUGCCAUGCAAAUGAAUACAGACGGCUGGAAUCGACUCAACAUUGUAGAAGCCAUUAGCAGCGUUGAUGUGCCCUCGAACACAACUGUUGACCGCCAAAACAGCAAAGCCAGCAACUCACUGGUAAAAGACACCGUGGCAGAUAGUAAUGCAACUUCAACUUGAGGUGGGCACAGCUGGAAACUACACAAGGUCACCAACCUUCAUGUACAGGUAGGCUGUACAUUGGAGCCCCCUGCAGACGUCACGUGAAGCGUUCAGGGGGAUAGAGAUGACGGGAGUUUCAUCUCCCACCACCCGCAGCUGCAGGAUCCCGCUGGCAUUUUCUCCCAGGCCAGCCUGGUAACACAGGUUUGGAUAUUCCAGUAGUAGGUGUUGGGACUUCUGCGGCGUCUGUCAUAUUCAGUGUAACAUCAUUACUGAAGAUUUAUGUUCCAGAAUAGUCCAGUGACCGCACCGUUUGUCUAUUAUCAGGUACAUAUUUAUGCUGCAAUCUAUAUUGUUGGUUAUACUGCCCAGUUUAACUUGACUGUGUUAGCAUAACAUCAUGACUGAAGAUACACUGUUUGUUCCAGAACAGUCCAGUGACCGCACUGUUUGUCUAUUAUCAGAAUAAACCAACUCAACUGGGAAUCCUGGCCUGUGGUGUCUCAAUAACACAACGCAAGAACAUACCUGUACUUGCCUGACCUCAACAGUAUGUGUGUGUGUGUGUGUGUGUGUGUGUGUGAGAGAGAGACAAUUCUAGGAUCCUAUCUUGCAUAUUUUUAUGAUCUUACAUAAUCUUAAAUUUCUGAAAUGUUGAAAUACAAGAACACUUCUGCAAUAAGAGAAAUCUGAUGACGCUAGGAGCGCUGAGCUCAUUUUAAGUGAAAUUCUGUCAAAAUUCACUCUUCAGUUAUUCUGUUAAGUCAGCUUUUGCUCAAUAUUUAAUGACCACUGAGUCAUGAUCAAGGCAAAUUCUCUCUGAUGUCACGGUCCAGUGCAUGCAGCAUACAUGCCAUGUAGAGUGAUGCACUUAAUGUGGAACCAAAGUUCACAAUCGCAAAUUCUGCUCUGACACUUUUAAACCGUUAGCACAACAAGCGGAUUGCCGUGCGAGUCGCACUUUGGCGAGCACAAAAUGAAACGCUGGAGCUGGAAGACCCGCCUGCGGGUUCCUGGUCAGCUACAACAGCAACAUAGAGAGAGAGUUGUGUAUGAGACGAAGACAGUGUGUCGGCGUUGCUCCACCAUUGUAGGGGAUGUGAAUGGAAACACAUCCAAAAUGCUCUAAAUUGUCUGUUAUAAAAAAAUAAAUGAAGAAACACAUCCGUAUGCAUUUGGGUUUGUUUUUUUUCCACUGUACCAAACUCACACCGAUCUGUGACAUUGAAAUAUUUCAAUGCUAUAAAUUAAGUGGUAUUCGAAUUUCACAAUUAGGCAUUCAGUUUGAGUUCAAAACUAUUACAGCUUUCAUUUUUGCUUUCAUAGAGACAUUCACUCUUCUACCCACACUGACACCACAACACGUUAUGUUGGACAUCUCUAACCACUCAUCAAAAGAUAAGAUAACGGAGCACAGCAUACUCAACCCUCACUUUUCAGUCGUCCUCCCACCCCAGGAAGCAUUUCUCAGAAUAAAAAAAGAGUAGGAGUGUGAUUGCUCUUUCAGAUUAGGAAAGUAUAAGUUAGUCUCUUUAUGACCAUGGACCUAAAAUACCACCGCUAUGGAAAAGCUGUUGAUGUGUAGCCUCAGCACAACAACCUUUCCAUUUCCUUCUGAUAAACAUCAGUGAUUCACUAAAGUCAUAGGAUU